CGGCUGUGUGUGUUGCCUGGCAACUCACAGGCCUGAGUCCCGGGCCCGGGAUGCUCUGCUCCGCCAUGGGGCCGCGGGGCUUCCCGCUGCUCCUGCUGGUGCUCCUGAGCUGCUGCGCUUCAGCGAGCACCCAGGCCGUGGCUACCCCAGCUGUGGCCACCCCGGCUGCGGCUACCCCGGCCUUGGCCACCCCGGCUGCGGCUACCCCAGCUGUGGCCACCCCGGCCGUGGACACCCCGGCUGCGGCUACCCCGGCUGUGGCCACCCCGACCAUGACGGAGGAGGACCUCAACUCCACCGAGGCCACCCCAGCCACUCUCAGGCCCUCCUCGUCGCCUAGGACCCCGGGGACUCCCAGGGCUCCGGAGCUCUCUGGCCCCAGGCCCACCCCGGUCACGGACGUUGCUGCUCUGUGUGUCUGCGACCUCCUUCCAGCACAGUGCGAUGUCAACUGCUGUUGUGACCCUGACUGCAGCACCAUGGAUUUCAGCGUCUUCUCUGCCUGCUCAGUCCCAGUUGUCACGGGUGAUGGGCAGUUCUGUAGUCAGAAGGCAGCCGUCUACUCGAUGAACUUGACGGCAGACCCUCCUCACCGCGUCUUUAGACUCACUGAGCAGAUCAACCCCUCCAUCUUCUGCGUCCAUAUUUCAAACUACAAGCCCGCUCUGUCCUUUGCUAAUCCGGAAGUGCCCAACGAGAACAAUUUCGACAGACUGAUGCAAGCGUCAGGUGGUUUUACGCUGAGUGUCGAGUCAGAUGUUCCUUCCACGGCCUCAUCAGAUGCCUCACAGCCCACUAAGUACGAGUACGGAGUUCCUCUGCAGACUGCAGGCGCGUCUUCAGGUUCGUUUCUUAGACUGCCUUCGCCUCUGACGUCAUCUCUGUGCACAGAUCAGAACCCUGCCGCAUUCCUGGUGAGCCAGGCCUUCGAAUGCAGCCGAAGGGUGGACAUAGAAGAGUGUGAAGGAAUGGAGGCCCUCAGCAUGGCUUAUUACAGCAGCCCUGCCAUUCUGAGGGUGCCCAAUUCAACAACACAGGUCUCCAUCAAGAUCCAGUCUGUCAUGUAUCGGUCUCUCAAUCACACGCUGACCCGGUUAGAAGGCCAUGGCGUCUUACGGCCGUCUCUGGUCAGCACUGGGCAAGACAGACUCUGCAGCAACGUUGUUCUCCAGGUGAAGUACAGCCUGCUGUACACAGCCACAGGCCAGAUCCAGGAAGCCAGCCUCUCCCUCGUUCUGGGGACAUUCAGCAGUACAGUGACUCUCCUGCAGCAGAAGUUUGAGAUUCACUUUAUUCAGCACGGCAGCAAGCCUGUUCCUCGCAGUGGCAACCCUGGUUACAGAGUGGGACUCCCUCUGGCUGCUGGUUUUCAGCCUCAGAAGGGGUCUGGGAUUAUUCAGACAACGAACAGACAAGGCCAGUUUACUAUUCUUCGUAGCGCAGGCGCGCAGGACUGUCUUGCCAGUGAGGGGCUCCGCGACCCCGUGCUGUUUGGCUACAACGUGCAGUCUGGCUGUCAGCUCAGACUGACAGGCGCCAUCCCCUGUGGGAUCCUGGCACAGAAGAUUCAGGGCCUGCUGAGAGGCCAGGCCUUCCCCGACUAUGUGGCUGCCUUUGGGAAUUCCCGGGCCCAGGACGUGCAGGACUGGGUGCCUGUGCGUUAUGUCACCCACUCCUCCAACGUGAAGGGCCCGUGCCAGCUCCCCGUGGCUUUGGGGAUAGAAGUGAAAUGGACUAAGUAUGGGUCCCUGCUGAACCCCCAAGCCAGGAUAGUGAACGUCACUGCCCAGCUCUUCUCCAUUCCAGAGCCCCUCCCAGGGCCCGAGAGGACGAUUGUCAUCUCCACCACAGUGACAUUUGUGGAUGUGUCAGCCCCUGCGGAGGCAGGCUUCCGAGCCCCACCCACCAUCAACGCCAGGCUGCCCUUCAGCUUCUUCUUCCCAUUUGUGUGAUGCGGGUGGCCCUGCAGGAGUGAGUACGCACCCUGAAGGUCUUCCCUUCUGCAGCAGUGGGCGCCCAGGCCCGAGGCUCAGGAGGACCCUGACCUAGGUGCUCCUCCCCUUAAACCAGCUCUCUGCCCAUCUCCGUGUCUCUUCCUCUCAGAAACUUUACCCUGCUGGACUGGGGGUCAGGUCUGGUGGUCACGGGCCUUGUCGCCUCUGGUGAGGUGGAGGGACAGAGCCUGAUGUAGCAAUGCAUGGAGAGCCUCCUCAGGGCAUUAUCCCUCAUCUCUCGGGAGCUGUCUUCAAAAUGCCCAUCAGCGUUGGAGAAGUACAAACCUGUAAGAGGCUGUAUAAAAACCUGUGCCCACAAGGGCACUGUACCCCAAGAUGAUGCUAAUUACAGGGCCGUCUGGGGGCCCCCCCUGCCGUGAGCUAGCUCUGUAACUGGUGGGCUGGUGUGGGCUGCCACCCGGGAGAGAAUGUGGUAGGCGGGCCCAGGAGAAAGAGGGCGCUUAUUUUAUACAUUAAUUGUACAGUAAUUGAGAGGGAUGCUGAUGAGUGCAGAGCCAGUUUGAAGCUGACACAGUUGGAUGCUGCAGAGGAGGGGCUGGGUACCAGGAUGCCUCCCCUAGGGGAUGCAGUGGGAGAAGCUGUGGACCGGCUAAGGAAGGUUUUCUAGAACGGGCUGGGGCAAGGUGUCAGCUUCUCCUCCUUUCAGAAUAUGCCUACGAAAGGGUGGGCCGGUCCCCUACACACGGAGGGAAGCAGUGGCAUUAAGUUUUCCAAGCCCAACUUCCUUGUCCGUUUUUGAACAGAGUCCAGCUGAGAAAAGGUGGUCAUGAUUCCUUUGCUGCAGGAGGAGGGCGUGGACAGGUGGCGCCGGGUCAGACCGAAGAGGCAGCGGAGCUGACAGAUGUGUCCCCAGCAUCCAGCAAGCGCAAGCCAAGGCAAAGAUGAGGACUGGACUUGGCAGCACACAGUUGCUCUCUGGCCAGCGCCCGGCUUCUCUAGGACAGACACCGGCCGAUGAGCUUCUGAGCCACAUUCCCACAGGCCUGGGGCUACAGAGAGCUAAGAGCCAGUCUGUGGCAUUCUGGCUGCUGAGGGGAGCCGUUCCCAGGAGGGGCCCUGGGCAGUGACAACAGGAACAAGAUGCCCUGAGGAGGGACUGGGCCUGGCUCCAGGAGCCGCUGCAGUCCAGAGUGGGGAGAUGAAAAGGCCCAAAGUUAAAGCCCCUGCUUUAACUGUGCUGGAGCGUGGCCCUGACUGGUUGACACAUGACCUGCUAACCUGGGAUGCCUUGCACAGCUCCAGUGACCCACGGCUCCUGACCCCACGGCCAGUCUCAAGAAACACCAGUGCUGCCCCUCAGAUACAAACCCAGAUAAGGCCCACGAGUACCACGAGGUCACCUGCCCCAGCUGCCCCAUGAGGCUUCCAGCCCCUCUCAGCCAGGGCGCCCCAUCAGGAGCCCACUCUCUGUGGCUGCGCUGUGGUGUAUUUAAUAAACCUUUCACCUCUGUCUUUUUAA